CAGUAGCCGCGGUAAUACAGAGGGUGCGAGCGUUAAUCGGAUUUACUGGGCGUAAAGCGUGCGCAGGCGGUUAUAUAAGACAGAUGUGAAAUCCACGGGCUCAACCUGGGAACUGCAUUUGUGACUGUAUAGCUAGAGUACGGCAGAGGGGGAUGGAAUUCCGCGUGUAGCAGUGAAAUGCGUAGAUAUGCGGAGGAACACCGAUGGCGAAGGCAAUCCCCUGGGCCUGUACUGACGCUCAUGCACGAAAGCGUGGGGAGCAAACAGGAUUAGAUACCCCUGUAGUCCCUGUCUCUUAUAU
rnacentral:rRNA from 1 species